rnacentral:rRNA from 1 species
GACGUAGGAGGCGAGCGUUGUCCGGAUUCAUUGGGCGUAAAGAGCACGCAGGCGGUUUGGCAAGUCGGAUGUGAAAACCCGGAGCUCAACUCCGGACCUGCAUCCGAAACUGCCCGACUAGAGGUAGGUAGGGGAGAUCGGAAUUCCUGGUGUAGCGGUGAAAUGCGCAGAUAUCAGGAGGAACACCGGUGGCGAAGGCGGCGUUCUAGACUGCAACUGACACUGAUGAACGAAAGCCAGGGGAGCAAACGGG